UUGUUUUUGCUGUUGAACUGUAAUACGUAUCUUUUGAACUGAAAUUGUACCCACCAAUGAGAUUCUUCAUUUUAGAGGCAUGAGAGCUGUCAUUAAGUUUCUGAUUGUGUAUUUGACUGUAGGCUGGAACUGUCGGAUAUAUAAGCACUUUUAGUUUUAAUUUAAUCUAGAAAUAAAUCAUGAAUACGAUGAACAGAUAGCAGAUUAAACUAGAUAUGUCUACGCAAGAUCUAGACAAGUCUAUCAUUGCAAAUAGAAUCACACAUUCUACCAUACUAUCCAGUGCUAUCAGACUGCAACAGAUCAUAAUAGUUAGUAUGGAAGACAUAAUUUGAGAUAAGAAAUCGUACGUUUUUUUCUUGAUGAAAACCAGCUCCUGGACGACUACCGGGUACAGCAGGCGACGACGAUCAGCAGCCUGACGUUGUUCGCGACGACAAGUGACGCCCGAGCAACGAAGAGGUAGACAAGCCGUGGUGAAGGAGUCGACGAAGAACUUGACGAAGGGGAGAAAGCGAUCGAGCAGUCGCGCAGAGCGCUUCCCAAAAACCUUAUUCGCCCUCUCCCGGUGCAGGAUCGCUGAAGACGACGGUUCCGGAAACCUGCUCUCCCAAUCGCCGGUGCACGCCGACAAUCAGGAUGGAGUAGACUACGGUGGCGGCGCAGCAGCGAGAGGAAGCAAAAACCUAACUAGUACAGACCACUUUAGGGAUACCCUAACCUGGGGGCCUUCCCGUAUAGUAGUCUAUAUCGCAUCUUUUUCAUGAGGGAGGUGGUCCAUAUAUAUAGGGAGGAAAAGCCCCAACACCCUCAUCUAUUAGCAAUAUGGGACUAAUAGAUGGUGUACCCCCUCUUACGCUAAUGGGCCUUUGAGAUUUUUCAGAAUUAUCAUUUAUAUGGGCCAAGCCCAUAUAUCUAACAAUCCCCCACCAGAUCUCAAAUGCCCAUCAGAGAUUUUGCCUGUUUCUCACUGCUAUUUAUAUACUAGUGUUUUAGCGAGGACUGUUAAGUUGAACUCUCGCCUAGAGCUUCAAGCUACAUUCAUCCACCACUUGAACAAUGGACUAAACCUUGAAUUGCAAGUUUUGUGCGGACAAGUUUCACUCAAAGUCGGGACUAGUACCUGGCUGACUGUAGCCUACCCCGCGGGUGGGGCAUAUAGGUCGUACCCCCUGGUCUCUUCAUGAGCUUAAUAGAGAUCACUCAAGUCUCAUAGACUGCGACCUUACAACAGCUGGGCUCAUAUAGGUAUAUUUUUCCAAGAUGUUCUGUAGGGCAACAUCUUUGCUAAUAAAAGCCAACAAAAUAUAUUAAGGCAGUAGCCAGCCUGCCAUGCAGUGGUUUGAGAGUGUUGCAUCAUUUCUCGAGUGGGUUAGUAGGAUACUCUCAUGCUGUCCCAUGGCUUGUUCUUCCCAGAUCCUACUUCACGGGAUCUCCGAUCACAUAGGUUGGGUUACCAUCAUGGUGUAGCUCAUAUGGGUCUCAUACCCAUCUCCUUUGAUACAUUGUUUAUCACAUUACGUGACAGCCCCUUAGUGAACUGAUCUGCCAAGUUCUUAUCAGUUGAAAUGUAAUCCACUGAUAUUACUCCGGAGUUUCUCAUUUUCCUGACAGAUUUCAGACGUCUCUUAACGUGUCUUGAUAACUUCAUAUUGUCCUUAGAAUUGUUCACUUUGACUAUCACCGUUUGAUUGUCACAAUUCAUAAGUAUUGCCGGCAUAGGUUUCUUAACAAUAGGCAAGUUCAUCAAGAGUUCACGUAGCCAAUCAGCCUCAACUGUGGCUGUAUCUAAUGCUGCAAGUUCUGCUUCCAUGGUAGACCUCGUUAAGAUAGUCUGUUUGGAUAACCUCCAUGAAACAGCACCACCACCAAGAGUGAAGACGUAUCCACUUGUGGCAUACAGUUCAUCAGCAUCAGAUAUCCAAUUUGAAUCACUAUAGCCUUCCAGUACCGCAGGAUACCCGGAGUAGUGAAUUCCGUAAUCCAUAGUACCAACUAAAUAGUGCAUGACUCGCUCAAGCGCACGCCAAUGAUCAUCUCCCGGAUUAGAGGUAAACCGGCUCAGUUUGCAAACAGCAUAUGAGAUGUCAGGCCUAGUAGCACUGGCUAAAUACAUAAGUGAUCCAAUAAUCUGAGAGUAUCUUAAUUGGUCUCUACCAAUUCUCUUAUUUUUCCGAAGUAUCAAGCUCGGAUCAUAAGGUGUGGGAGAAGGCUUACUGUCCUUGAAGCCAAACCGGCUCAAGACCUUUUCCACAUAAUGAGAUUGCGUGAGAGUAAUCCCAUUCUCUCCUUUGAUCAACUUGAUAUUCAGAAUUACAUCAGCCUCUCCCAGAUCUUUCAUGUCAAAAUUUUGGCAUAGAAAUGACUUGACCUCUUUAAUCACGUCAAGAUUUGUACCAAAGAUCAGUAUGUCAUCAACAUACAAGCACAAUAUAACUCCCUCACCCCUACCAUGGCGGUAGUACACACAUCUAUCAGCCUCAUUGACAGAAAAGCCUGCUGAUAUGAGUGUAGUAUCAAAUUUCUCAUGCCACUGCUUAGGUGCUUGUUUCAAGCCAUACAAAGAUUUCAGCAAUUUACACACCUUGUUCUCUUGACCCUUUAUUACAAACCCAUCAGGCUGAUUCAUAUAAAUUUUCUCAUCCAACUCUCCAUUAAGGAAAGUUGUCUUAACAUCCAUCUGAUGGACGAGAAGACCAUGUGAGGCAGCAAGGGAAAGUAAUACUCGAAUACUGGUCAAUCUCGCAACAGGUGAGUAAGUGUCGAAGAAAUCUUCGCCUUCUUUCUGGGUAUAACCCUUAGCCACAAGUCGAGCCUUGUACUUAUCAAUAGUACCAUCAGGCCUAAGUUUCUUUUUGAACACCCACUUGCAACCCACAGGUUUACAACCAUACGGUCGAUCAACAACCUCCCAAGUUCCAUUAGAAAGAAUAGAGUCCAUCUCACUAUGGAUAGCUUCUUUCUAAUCAUCCGCAUCUGGAGAUGCAAAUGCCUCUGAAAUAGUCUUAGGAGUAUCGUCUACGAGAUAGACAGUGAAAUCAUCACCAAAGGACUUUGCAGUUCUUUGUCUCUUGCUCUUCUUAGGAGCUUCACUGUUAACCUCCUCAUGAACUGGCUCAAGUGUUUGUUCAGCAUGAUCAGGAAGCACAAUAGGUUCAGGAGUUGUCUCAGCAAUCAUAUCAGAAGAUAGUCUAGACAUACUAUGCAAUUGUUUCAUAGGAAAUAUAUUCUCAAAGAAAGUAACAUCACGAGACUCCAUCAAGGUAUUAACAUGAACAUCAGGCACCUCUGAUUUAACCACUAAAAAUCUAUAGGCUAUGCUAUGAUGAGCAUAUCCCAAAAAGACACAAUCCACAGAUUUAGGUCCCAACUUACGUUUCUUGUUGAUUGGCACACUAACUUUAGCCAAGCAUCCCCAAGUGCGUAAGUAUAAAAGUGAUGGUUUUCUUCCAAUCCAUUCUUCAUAGGGAGUUUUCUCCUUAUUCUUCAUGAGUAUUUUAUUCAGGACAUGACAUGAAGUCAAUACAGCCUUCCCCCACCAUGCCUUAGAUAAUCCACUGGUGUCUAACAUGGCGUUCACCAAGUCAGUCAAGGUGCGAUUCUUUCUUUCGGCAACCCCGUUUGAUUGGGGUGAAUAGGGAGGCGUCCUCUCAUGUAUAAUACCAUGUUCUUCGCAGAACAAGUCGAAAUCAUAAGAGAAAUACUCGUCACCACGAUCAGACCUAAUUCUCUUGAUAUUUUUCUUAAGUUGAUUCUCAACUUCAGCCUUAUAGAUUUUAAAGUAAUUAAGAGCCUCAUCUUUCAUUUUCAAUAAAUAUACAUAGCAAUAUCUAGAUGCAUCAUCUAUCAGAGUCAUGAAAUAUCUUUUUCCACCUUUGGUCAACACACCAUUCAUCUCGCAUAUAUCAGUAUGAAUUAGUUCAAGUGGUGCCAAGUGUCUCUCCUCUGCCACCUUGUGAGGUUUUCGAGGUUGCUUAGAUUGCACACAACUAUGGCACUUAAAACCUUUGACAAUGGAAAAAUUUGAAAUUAAACACAGGCUGGAAAGUCGAGACAUAGAACCAAAAUUCAAAUGACAUAAACGUGAAUGCCAAACACUAGCAUCACUCUCAUUAAUACCAUCACAAAUAUAGUUCACAGACUUAUUGCAAUAAUCUGAAAGGGAAAAGCGGAACAAGCCUCCGCACUCAUAGCCUUUACCAAUAAAUUGUCUACUCUUAGACACGACAAUUUUAUUAGACUCAAGCACUACCUUAAAACCAUCCCUACACAAAAGGGAGCCACUAACUAGAUUCUUCCUGAUAGAAGGGACAUGCUGCACAUUCUUCAGUUGCACGAUCUUUCCUGAAGUAAACUUCAAAUCUACCGUACCAACAUCAUGAACAGAAGCAUGUGACCCAUUCCCCAUUAGGACGGAGGAAUCCCGAGUGACCUUGUAAGAUGAAAACAAGGAGGCAUCGGCACACACAUGAACAUUAGCACCAGUAUCAAGCCACCAAGUAUUAGUAGACUGAAAUACUGAAAAAACAGAAGGUAAAUUACCAUACCCACUAUUUUCGUCUCCAGUGCUGGUCACCAUGCUCACAGACUUCUGCUGUGGAGGUUUUCUUCCUUUGCGGUUUGGGCACUUCUUUGCCCAAUGGUCAGUAGAACCGCACACGAAGCAUCCCUCGUUCUCCUUAUUCUUCUUUUUCUUGAAGGUAGUGGACUGCUUAGGCUUAUUGUUCUUGCCCUUGCCCUUGCCACCAUUGCCAUUGUGAUGUGAUUGGUGCACCAUAUUGGCACUGGUCUGACCCUCAACAGCAUUAGAUCGUCCAUCUUUAGCCCGAGCUUUCUCCUCAACAUCAAGAGACGGAUCAAGUCUGAAAUAGAAAUUUCUGUCCUCUUGUGUUUGAGAGAAGUGGCGAAAUCCCUUCAGGAUGGAGGUAACUUGGCAAUAAUGCCCCCAGCCACAAACUUGUCGGACACGACAAUCUUUAGCAGAUCGAGUUCCUUCACCAUGCACUGUAAUUCAUGAGCAUGAGCGACUACAGAUUUUCCGUCAACCAUCUUGUAGUCAUGAUACUGCUCAAUGAUGUACAGUUCAGUGCCAGUAUCUGAGCCACCGUAGUUGGCAGUCAGAUUGUCCCACAACUCCUUUGCGACCGUGUGAUGAAGGUACACAUCGUGCAGAUGUUCUGCAAGUGCACCAAUCACAGCGCCCAAGAAGAUUGUGUUGGCUUCCGAAUAUUCUUUCUCCUUUUUAGAAGAGAGAACCCCUUCCGGCUUGCCAUUGGACACCCAGAACACCUUCAUGGCAGUAAGCCACAGCGUGGCUUUCACCUGCCACCUCUUGAAGUGCACGCCAGCAAAUGGUGCUAGCCUCAGUGCAUCAAGAAAUCCAGCCAUAAAACUAAAGUGUCUACAAUAAGGUUUUUGGAUUGUUGGAUAUAUAAGCACUUUUAGUUUUAAUUUAAUCCAGAAAUAAAUCAUGAAUACGAUGAACAGAUAGCAGAUUAAACUAGACAUGUCUACGCAAGAUCUAGACAAGUCUAUUAUUGCAAAUAGAAUCACACAUUCUACCAUACUAUUCAGUGCUAUCAGACUGCACAUAAUAGCUAGUAUGGAAGAUAUAAUUUGAGAUAAGAGAUCGUACGUUUCUUUCUUGAUGAAGACCGGCUACUAGACGACUACCGGGUACAGCAGGCGACGACGAUCAGCAGCCUGACGUUGUUCGCGACGACGAGUGACGCCCGAGCGACGAAGAGGUAGACGAGCCGUGGUGAAGGAGUCGACGAAGAACUUGACGAAGCGGAGGAAGCGAUCGAGUAGUCGCGCAGAGCGCUUCCCAAAAACCUUAUUCGCCCUCUCCCGGUGCAGGAUCGCUGAAGACGACGGUUCCGGAGACCUGCUCUCCCAAUCGCCGGUGCACGCCGACAAUCGGGAUGGAGUAGACUACGGUGGCGGCGCAGCAGCGAGAGGAAGCAAAAACCUAACUAGUACAGACCACUUUAGGGAUACCCUAACCUAGGGGCCUUCCCGUAUAGUAGUCUAUAUCGCAUCUUUUUUAUGAGGGAGGUGGUCCAUAUAUAUAUAGGGAGGAAAAGCCCCAACACCCUCAUCUAUUAGCAAUAUGGGACUAAUAGAUGGUGUACCCCUCUUACGCUAAUGGGCCUUUGAGAUUUUUCAGAAUUAUCAUUUAUAUGGGCCAAGCCCAUAUAUCUAACAGGGACUGGCAUAUUGCAGAGUGAUGUCAGCUACUGUAAAUUGAGUAGAACUAACACUAGCCCUCUUCGGUUCUAUUAGUCA
rnacentral:lncRNA from 1 species